rnacentral:rRNA from 1 species
CCUACGGGAGGCAGCAGUGAGGAAUAUUGGUCAAUGGCCGGGAGGCUGAACCAGCCAAGCCGCGUGAGGGAAGACGGCCCUACGGGUUGUAAACCUCUUUUGUCAGGGAGCAAGGUGCAGGUCGGGACCUGCUGUGAGAGUACCUGAAGAAAAAGCAUCGGCUAACCCCGUGCCAGCAGCCGCGGUAAUACGGAGGAUGCGAGCGUUAUCCGGAUUUAUUGGGUUUAAAGGGUGCGCAGGCGGAGGGACAAGUCAGCGGUAAAAUCGCGGGGCUCAACCCCGCCCCGCCGUUGAAACUGGUGUUCUUGAGUGAGCGAGAAGUAUGCGGAAUGCGUGGUGUAGCGGUGAAAUGCAUAGAUAUCACGCAGAACUCCGAUUGCGAAGGCAGCAUACCGGCGCUCAACUGACGCUCAGGCACGAAAGUGUGGGUAUCGAACAGGAUUAGAUACCCCUGUAGUC